CGCCCGAGCCGAGCGGGCGAGCGGAGCUGCGGGGAGCGCGGGCGAAGGCGGCAGGAGGGAGGGCGCGCGGGAGGCGGCCCCUCCUCGGCGAGCCAUGCGUGCCGCGGGCAGCUGAGGAGCCGCCGGGCGCCGCUGCCAAGUCCCCGCUCCGCUUUUGUCUUGCCCUCCAGUGAAUGGGAAGAUGGANCCCAGCAGCGGCCCCAGCCCCAGCCCCAGCAGCGGCCCCAGCCCCAGCAGCGGCCCCAGCAGCUGGCUCAGGAUGAAGUGCCCGGCGAGAGUGCGGGCGCGGAGGACAGCGACGAUCCCGAGGCGACACCCGGCAGCGACAGAGGCGAGAGCAAGAGAUAUCAUGGACUGAAAGGUGAUGGGUACCCCAAUGAGUUCACUACAAGAUCUCAAAGAUUCCAAGCCAUUGGCUGCUCCAAAGCAUAAAGCCACCCUUCUGGAGAGGCGGCAGGAAGGAAGCCUGGAGGAGGCUCCGCUGUUGGCCAGAGGAAGACCACCUUCUCAGGUGUCUGGGGGAACCGCUGAAGGAGAAUGAGAGAGAUGUCGCUGGUCCCCAGGACAGAAACAGCAGCUGGAACCAAGAAGCACUCAGAGUGGGACUCGAGCCCAGCACCCCUUCAGACUGAAGCUCUUUGAGAUACAUGUGCUUCCUGAUUGGACUGUUUUUGCUUUUCCAUCACCUGCAUAACACAGUUCUGGAUACUUUGGAAUGGUUGGCUUUCUUUCCUUUUUUAUCCUUCCCCCACCUCUACCCCCACCCCUGUCUUGUCUUUUUCUUCCCUUGGCCCUGAGACCUGUAAGAAAAGAAUUGCUUUGGAAAGUAUAAUUCUGUUGCUGAAAUUUGCCUUGUUUAUGAACAAAUUCUUUCCCUGAGGAUUUUCUGAAUUGCAAUCCCAGGUUACUUGGUAAAUGGGGCUGCAUGAUUUGAUUUGUGUAGCACUGAUCCUUAGAUUAAAAAUACAUUUUCUUUCUUUCUUUUUUCCCCCCAAGUUUUGGAUCCAGGUAAUGGCCCGAGUCACAUUUGCUUAGCUACUGAAGCGAUCUCAAUGUGGUAUCGCUUGGAGUUGAAACAUAAUCAAACAUACAUUAUACCUGGGGCUCUUGCAUGCUAUUUGAUAUAUAUGUUACACUACAAAGAAACACAAACCUUGUAGGUUGAAAUUUAAUUCCUGUCUGAUCCUAUAGUUAGAAUGGUGAGAAAUCACAAAAUAUCAAAAGUGGCUUCAAAUACCCUGAAUGUAAGCUAACCAACAAUAAAUGGACAGUUUGGAAAUGCCA
rnacentral:lncRNA from 1 species